rnacentral:lncRNA from 1 species
AAAAAAAAAAAAAAGUUGCGGAAGUUCCCUUGGCACACUUGGCUAAGGAAACCUGGCACCGAGGAUAUGAAACUGGGGGACUUGAGGCUCCCUGAAUAAGAGAUGGAGCUUGCAGAGGACGCACUAGGUGCCUGGCGUUGGCCUAAGCACUUUCCAGCAGAUAAUUUGCUUAUCCUCAGGGCAACCUUAUGAGGUAGGUACUAUUAUUACCCAUUUUAUAGAUGAGGAAACUGAGCCACGUGGAGGUGGGAAUGCCAAGACUGAUCCCAGGCAGCCUGGCUCUGCAUACGAAACUGCUGUAUUCUUUGCCCUGUGGUAUCUCAUACCUGGAAGGCAGGCAGGGAACAGAGGAGAAAGGUUGAGGCUGAAUCGUUACAUAAGUGCAAGGGCCCCAGGGUCCUGAGUGGCACCUGAGAAGAGAGGAGCCCAAGCUAUUAGGCCGUAAAAUACACUGCCUGGUGUCUGCCACAUAGUAGAUUCUCCAUAAGUGUUGAACUGAAAUCAAGCAUAAUUACCUGAGCUAUCAGCCCUUUCUCUCUAGUUCAUCAACAUUUCUCUCAAUUCUUUGAUUUUGUCAAACUUGGUAAACCACGGAAAAUGUGUACUUCUUAAAAAAAAAAAAAAGAAAAGAAAAAGAUUGUCCAGUUCAUGGAACACUGCAACAAGACAUGUGAGAAGAGAUCUUACUAGUGUUUAACUCAAAAUCCCGAGAGGCUUGCGCAGAGGCUGGAGCCCAGCAACCAUUGCUUGUCCUUAGAGCCCAUUUAAGGGGCACCCUCCUAUCAUCACCCAUUAGCUUUCUCCCGGUGAAGCAUGAAUAUUUUCACAGUGAAGCUCAGGUCUAACUGUGACACUCUCACUGCCCACAAAAUGCACAGGAUUCCAGUGAGCAAAUAGCCCCGCCCUGAGUCUACCCGGCAUCGGCCACAGGCAUGCAUAGCAGGAACUGGGCGGCUGAGUUCACAGGCAGUCAGAAUGGGUGCUGCUGCUAGCAAGGUUAAAAUCAUCUGUUCUGCCAAUGUCCCCCUCUGCUCACCCUCUAGGCUGUGGUCUGGGUCCCUCAGGAUAGCCACAACUUGGGAGGCAGCCACUGCUCCCCUUGCUUUGGGCCCUUAGCUGCGUCCUGUUUACCUUCACCUUCCUGAUACAUUCCUUGGGUGCUUUGCUUGUGUGUGCAGGGGCUUUGAUCAACUCGGCCUUCCUGGGCCUCGGGGAGAGAGACGGACUGCCUCCGGGUGCUCAUGACCUUUCCAGCAGUAAGCCAAUAAUGUAUGACUCCUGCGUUGCCGUUGCUCGUUUGAGGAACAUCUGUCCAGUCCCUGGGAUGGUGAGGCUAUAACCACAAAGGAAUAAGAGAAGACGACUAGUUUUGUAAUGGGAUUUGCUCUCUUUUGAGGAUCAAGAGCCACAGAAUGCUAAAGGGAGGCAGAGUCUCGGAGGUCCCCUGUGAAGUGGGAAAUCACCUGGAUGCAGUGGGGCCCUUCAAGUGCAUCACCAAAAAAAACCAUCCCAGAAGGCACAGUGGAUUGAAGAGGGGGGCAGUGCUGAGUCAUUCACGUGGUGUGUGAGGGCUCCUGUUUGUAAAUCAGGGAUUCUUGCAGCCUGCUUUUUCAGGGACAUUGGCUGCUGUCUUCUGACCCACCCUGUGUGGCUUUGGCGUCUCCUGUGACCUCCCAGUAUGGGUCUUGGCCUCAUCCUGCCUCUUUGUCUUUCUGGCCCACCACCCACAGCUUGAAUCUCAGGCUCCAACAGUUGCCUGACCCCCAGAUUCUGAUGACAGCCUACCUACUUGUUCUUCAGGCCCUCACCAGACUCACUGCCCAGACACACCACACAGGAGAACAUGAAAGGCUUUGAAUGAUGCAUUGGCCCACGUGGACCACCUUCCAUUUCCCAAGACUUUUUGAAGGCAAUGAAUGAGAAGAAAGCAGAGAAAACAGUGGGCGUGAGGUCAGAUGACUCAGGCUUGAGUACUGAUCACAUCAAGGAUUGGACGCACUGCUCUUAGGAAGGCACAACUUCUACUACUUUCAGUCUUAUCAACUGUGAGAGUGUACCCUUGCUGUAGAUGCCACCCGCCCAGCAGUCCUCAUCAUCUUGGCCCAGGAUCACCUGAAACAGAUGAUCCUCCUUUUGAGCUACCAUCAGAAGGUCCACAGUACUAGCCCAGCGCUACAUCCCAAUGCCUACGCCAUUCAUCUCACCUCAUCUCAUCACGUAGACAUUUCAUCAUGUCACAUCAUCACAAGAAGGGAAUCUAUUCACAAAUAAGGUUUUGUGGAUUCAACAGCUUUACUGAAGAUAUGUAGAUUGUUGUUAGCGCUUCCUACCUUGCACAGCCUCUUGUCCCGUCACUGGCCCCAUGCAUCUUCCUCUGCUGCCUUCAAGAAGCUCCAGAUCCUGCCACAGACGUGCUCCACUCAGAGGACUGGAGUCCAAUCCCCUGACAGUGCUUUUCUCUUUGGGAAGCACCCCCUCCCCCACUGCCAUUAAACCUCUGGAA